GUGAGACAACUGCAGCAUUUUUUUGACGGGUUUUGUAGAGGCCAAAAUGAGAUGGAAUGCAUGAAACUGACCAACAAAAGCAACUUCAGUUUUUGGAGCCUUUUGGUGCCCAUGUGGCCACAAAAACACACAUCCCGUCACUUUUGAGAACCCUUUAUUCUAUCUGCUUGUUCACACCAACAACAAGAUCCCUCCCAAUGCAAAAUUUUGUAUGGAUAUGUGGAGUCACGCCACACAUGAGAAUUGCUUAAAAUAAUGGUUCUCAUGUAAUAUUAGUAUUAUAUUGUAUUAUUAGUGUUGUUGUUGUUGUUGUUGUUGUUGUUUUUUGAAGGGUGUGGCCACCAUCCGCACACCUCAACUUUCCUUGUGGAGGUGUUGCUCCAAUCAAAAGUCAAGAGAGCAAAGGGUCAAAAGUUCUUUUAAAAGACAUGAGAUAGGGUUUAGAAUGACUCAUUCCUUUGUAUGAUAUGGCGAGGAAGGUACGUUGUACUUGACCAAUGCUACACCAAUGCUUCAUAAUGUUUGCCUCUUAAUUAGAAUUCCUAUACAUCCAAUAUUUUGGAGACUUUCUUUCCUUAAGAAAUGAUACGAUAAAUUAUGAAUCCACAUGGAAGUUUCCACAUUGUACUUAGGUCAUGUCUUGUAAUACAUGUAUGUAUUAAACCUUGGGUUGAAGCUCUUUUCUUUCUUUCUCAUAUAUAUAUAUAUAUAUAUAUAUUUAUAUUUAACCUAAAACUGUACCAUUUGUUCUUUUAUUGUAUUUUUUAAAAAUUACAAUUAUUUUGUUGAAUUUUUUUGUAAAUAUCAUAUCAAAACACAUUGUAUUCCAACAGCCAUACCCAUAAAAUAAAUGUACUUCAGAAAAAGAAAUUGAACAAUAACAACAACAUUAAUCCCAAGUAAAAAAACAAUAAACAAAAAUUGUAAAACAUAACCUUGCUUAUUGUUGUUGUUGUUGUUUGUCUGUCUGUUUGUUUGUUUGAUGUUUUUUGUUUUGUUUUGUUUUGUUUUUUUUCUGAAUAUGUAUUCGUUUUAGGAUAUGAAAUACCAUCCCAAUGAUAUCCAUUAAAAGUCAUUUUACUCAUUUUGAUUUGAUUUUGAUUUUUUUUACAUAAUUUUUUUUUACAUGUACAUAAACAAUAUGCACACUUCAGUACAAGGCAAAGAAUGCAAACUUCCACAUAAAGAGAAAGUUUUCCAACAAUGGCAUUUUAGUCUUUAUUCCUGUUAUCAUUUCAUUUGAUAAUUAUUUUCUCUACCUUUCCUUUUCAACCGAUCAUGAAUAUUGUUCCAAAUUCUUCAAAGUUUUCAUUGAUUGGUGCAAGCAACGUGAUUGAGAAGUAAUAUAACAACCAUAAAUUACAACCACACAACAAUGUGAAUAUGCUUCAGAUGGAGGUCCCCAUAGUUACAAGUAGGAUAUUUAUUUAUUUAUUUAUCUGAAUGUUAACAUUCUACAUUUGGUUCAUUCUUUCACAAACAUUGUAUGGUUUACCUCUCUCUAAGUAAUUAUGUAUGUAUGUAUGUAUUAAUAUAUAUAUAUAUAUAUAUAUAUCAUAGGAAUAGAUAAGAUGAGAGACAAUAUUCACUAUCCAAGGCAUCACCUUAUUUCCUAUCUUCCUGUUGUUGUCCAUUGAAAGUCUGUCAGUUGCUCUUUCAUCUUUCCAUGAAGAUUUUCAAGUACUUUCUCCCUUUUUGUGCAAAAAAUAAUUAAAUAUACAUAUUUUUCUUGCAUGGUUUUGACGUUGCUUUAACAUGAGCAAAACCCUAAAACCACCAAAAAAUAAUAAAUCAAUCAAUUCAGGUGAUGUGACGAUGUCAAAGAAUAUGAAAUUUUACUCAAUUUACAUGUAUUGGUGGUAUAUUAAGCAUACCCAAUUCACGUGCGAGAUCCAAUCUCCCUCAUAUGUGUAAUCAACUACUCACUUUUGUUUUGUAGGAAACCUCAUAUCGUUGGAAUAUUAUAUCACUUAUUCGUAGUGAUCGAUUGACAGUAUUAAAAAUAGAAAAAAACAAGAAAUUUGUUUGCAACAAUCCAGGAACAAAAUAUAGACACGCUUCUGGUCAUUGUAUAAUUAAACAGAAAAAGUCAUCCACAGAAUAGAAUGAUAAUAUGAAAAAGAACCCAUCUCAUGAAAUCUUAUGAAGAAGAAUAUCCGCAGACAUAUUACAUUCAAGUGUUUCAAUCUUUUUUUGUAUUAACACCAAUUCCACACAACCCCCCCUCUCUCUAAUUAUUAUUAUUAUUAUUAUUAAUUUGUUGUUUAUAAAUAUUAUAUUAUUACUUGACUAUUUCACCUUUUUUAUUUUAUUUUAUUUUUUAAAUCUUUUUCUGCCCCUUAAU
rnacentral:lncRNA from 1 species